UGAUCAUGUCUCAGGAUAAACGCUGGCGGGGUGCCUAACACAUGCAAGUCGAACGCGCUCAGCAAUGAGCGAGUGGCGGCCGAGGAGUAACACGUGGGAACGUACCUUGAGGUGAGGGAUACCGGCGAGAAAUCGCCGACAAGCUCGCAUGUGCUUCCCUUGAAAAGCAAAGCUCUUUCGGGAGCGCCACAGGAUGGGCCCGCGGCCGAUUAGCUAGUUGGUGGGGUAUAAGCUCACCAAGGAGUCUAUCGGUAGCUGGUAUGAGAGGACGAUCAGCCACACUGGGAUUGAGAACGGCCCAGACUCCUACGGAGGGCAGCAGUGAGGAAUUUUCCGCAAUGGAGGAAACUCUGACGGAGCAACGCCGCGUGCAGGAAGACGGCCUUCGGGUUGUAAAGUGCUUUUCUGUGGGAAGAGAACGGACGGUACCACAGGAAUAAGCCCCGGCUAACUACGUGCCAGCAGCCGCGGUAAUACGAAGGGGGCGAGCGUUGUCCGGAGUUACUGGGCGUAAAGGGCACGCAGGCGGUUGUGUCAGUUUGCGGGGACAGUGGGUGGCUUAACUGCCCAAGCGUCGCAAAGACGGCACGACUGGAGAGCGAGAGAGGGACCUGGAAUUCCGGGUGGAGCGGUGAAAUGCGUAGAGGUCCGGAGGAACACCACUGGCGAAGGCAAGGUUCUGGCUCGUAUCUGACGCUGAGGUGCGAAAGCUAGGGGAGCGAACGGGAUUAGAUACCCCGGUAGUCCUAGCCGUAAACGAUGACCACUAGAUGUGGGAGGUAUCGACCCCUUCCGUGUCGCAGUCAACACGUUAAGUGGUCCGCCUGGGGAGUACGGUCGCAAGAUUAAAACUCAAAUGAAUUGACGG
rnacentral:rRNA from 1 species